UCUAUUUGAGUUUGUGUUUGUAUGUCUAUGUGUGUUUAUGUUUGUGUUUGUGUUUGUAUGUGCGUAUCUCUUGUUGUGUGUGUAUGUUUGUUUGUGUUUGUGUUUGUGUUUGUGUGUGUGUGGCAGGGGGGAGGGGGUGUAUGUGUGUUUGUGUUUGUGUGUUUGUGUACGUAUGUGUGUUUGUGUUUCUGUUGGUGUUUGUGUUUGUGUUUGUGUUUGUGUGUUUGUGUGUGU
rnacentral:lncRNA from 1 species